AUCGCUUCUUGGCCUUUUGGCUAAGAUCAAGCGUAGUGUCUGUUCUUAUCAGUUUAAUAUCUGAUAAGUCCUUUAUUUGAGGACUGUAUAUUAAAUUGAUUUUUGAAACAAGGGGAUGGAAUAGGAGCUUGCUCUCACCACCCCAUGCAUUGACCUGGUAUUGCACUAUUUCCAGGACCAGUGCCUCUCCU